UACGUAGGGGGCGAGCGUUGUCCGGAUUUAUUGGGCGUAAAGAGCGUGUAGGCGGCCAGGUAGGUCUGCUGUGAAAACUCGAGGCUCAACCUCGAGACGUCGGCGGAAACCAUCUGGCUAGAGUCCGGAAGAGGAGAGUGGAAUUCUCGGUGUAGCGGUGAAAUGCGCAGAUAUCAGGAGGAACACCGGUGGCGAAGGCGGGUCUCUGGGCCGAUACUGACGCUGAGGAGCGAAAGCGUGGGGAGCGAACAGG
rnacentral:rRNA from 1 species